rnacentral:rRNA from 1 species
CAGUUGCCAUCAUUAAGUUGGGCGACUCUGGCGGGGACCGGCCCGGUCGGACAAACCGGAAGGAAGUGGGGAGUGACGUCAAAUCAUCAUGCCCCUUAUGUCUUGGGCUACACACGUGCUACAAUGGCCUACACAACGGGAAGCGAAGGGGUGACCUGGAGCCAAUCCUACAAAGUAGGUCUCAGUUCGGAUUGCACUCUGCAACUCGAGUGCAUGAAGCCGGAAUCGCUAGUAAUCGCGGAUCAGCACGCCGCGGUGAAUACGUUCCCGGGCCUU